rnacentral:rRNA from 1 species
ACUUAGAGUAAUGUCUAAGUAUCAUUAAGUGAAUACAUAGCUUAAUGAGGGGAACUCAGGGAACUGAAACAUCUAAGUACCUGAAGGAAGAGAAAGAAAUUCGAUUCCGUAAGUAGCGGCGAGCGAACGCGGAUUAGCCCAAACCAAUAAAGUUUUCUUUAUUGGGGUUGCGGACAUAUCAUAACGAAGAGGUAUCGUAAUUGAAGAGGUUUGGAAAGACCCACCACAGAAGGUAAUAGUCCUGUAUGUUAAACGAGAAGACUUCAGAUAUGAUCCAGAGUACCACGGGACACGUGAAACCCUGUGGGAAGCAGGAGGGACCACCCUCCAAGGCUAAAUACUACCUAGUGACCGAUAGCGUAUAGUACCGUGAGGGAAAGGUGAAAAGAACCCCGGGAGGGGAGUGAAAUAGAACCUGAAACCCUGCACUUACAAGCUGUGGAAGCACAUUUCUUGUGUGACCGCGUACUUUUUGUAGAACGGGCCAACGAGUUACGUUAAGUAGCAAGGUUAAGCACUUAAGGUGCGGAGCCGUAGCGAAAGCGAGUUUUAACUGAGCGUUCAGUUACUUGACGUAGACCCGAAACCGGGCGACCUACCCAUGAGCAGGAUGAAGCGAAAGUAAAAUUUCGUGGAGGUCCGAACCCACGAGCGUUGAAAAGCUCGGGGAUGACUUGUGGGUAGCGGUGAAAUUCCAAUCGAGCCCGGAGAUAGCUGGUUCUCCCCGAAAUAGCUUUAGGGCUAGCCUCAAGGUGAGAGAUACGGAGGUAGAGCACUGAAUGUCCUAGGGGGUAUUGCACCUACCGAAGACUAUCAAACUCCGAAUGCCGUCAUCUUAUACUUGGGAGUCAGACUGUGGGUGAUAAGAUUCAUAGUCGAAAGGGCAACAGCCCAGAUCGUCAGCUAAGGUCCCUAAAUGUAAGUUAAGUGGUAAAGGAUGUGGGAUUGCACAGACAACCAGGAUGUUGGCUUAGAAGCAGCCACUCAUUCAAAGAGUGCGUAAUAGCUCACUGGUCGAGUGAUCCUGCGCCGAAGAUUUCCGGGGCUAAAACUUACUACCGAAGCUACGGCAUCAGUAAUGAUGGGUAGGGGAGCUUCCCAUACGGGUUGAAGCAUGACCGUAAGGACAUGUGGACAGUAUGGGAGUGAGAAUGUUGGCAUGAGUAGCGAGAUGUGGGUGAGAAUCCCACAGGCCGUAAACCCAAGGUUUCCAGGGGAAGGUUCGUCCGCCCUGGGUUAGUCGGGACCUAAGCUGAGGCCGAAAGGCGUAGGUGAUGGACAACAGGUUGAUAUUCCUGUACUACCGAUAACCGUUUGAGAGAAGGGAUGACACAGUAGGAUAAGCUAAGCACACUGUUGGUUAUGUGUGCCCAAGCAUUGAGGCAGUCAAAGUAGGCAAAUCCGCUUUGAUAAUGCUGGGAUGUGAUGGGGAGCGAAAUUUAGUAGCGAAGUAGCUGAUUUCACACUGUCAAGAAAAGUCUCUAUCGAGGUUAAAGGUACCCGUACCGCAAACCGACACAGGUGGGUGAGGAGAGUAUCCUAAGGCCAGCGAGAGAACUGUUGUUAAGGAACUCGGCAAAAUGACCCCGUAACUUAGGGAUAAGGGGUGCCACCAUCAGGUGGCCGCAGAGAAUAGGCCCAAGCGACUGUUUACCAAAAACAUAGGUUUCUGCUAAGUCGCAAGACGAUGUAUAGGAGCUGACGCCUGCCCGGUGCUGGAAGGUUAAGGGGAUCUGUUAGAGCAAUCGAAGCAGUGAACUUAAGCCCCAGUAAACGGCGGCCGUAACUAUAACGGUCCUAAGGUAGCGAAAUUCCUUGUCGGGUAAGUUCCGACCCGCACGAAAGGCGUAACGAUUUGGGCACUGUCUCAACAACAGACUCGGUGAAAUUGUAAUUCCGGUGAAGAUGCCGGAUACCUGCGACAGGACGGAAAGACCCCAUGGAGCUUUACUGUAGCUUGACAUUGGGUCUUGGUACUACAUGUACAGGAUAGGUGGGAGGCUUUGAAACCAGGACGCCAGUUUUGGCGGAGCCAUCCUUGGGAUACCACCCUUGUAGUACUGGGACUCUAACCAUAGGCCAUGAAUCUGGUCUUGGGACACUGUCAGGUGGGCAGUUUGACUGGGGCGGUCGCCUCCCAAAAGGUAACGGAGGCGCUCAAAGGUUCUCUCAGUACGGUCGGAAAUCGUACGUAGAGUGUAAAGGCAAAAGAGAGCUUGAUUGCAAGACAUACAGGUCGAGCAAGGAUGAA